rnacentral:rRNA from 1 species
CCUACGGGUGGCAGCAGUGAGGAAUAUUGGUCAAUGGGCGCGAGCCUGAACCAGCCAAGUCGCGUGAGGGAAGACGGUCCUAUGGAUUGUAAACCUCUUUUGCCGGGGAGCAACGGCGGGUACGUGUCCCCGCCCGGAGAGUACCCGGAGAAAAAGCAUCGGCUAACUCCGUGCCAGCAGCCGCGGUAAUACGGAGGAUGCGAGCGGUAUCCGGAUUUAUUGGGUUUAAAGGGUGCGUAGGCGGGCUGUUAAGUCAGCGGUAAAAUUUCGGGGCUCAACCCCGUCCGGCCGUUGAAACUGGCGGCCUUGAGUGGGCGAGAAGAAGGCGGAAUGCGUGGUGUAGCGGUGAAAUGCAUAGAUAUCACGCAGAACCCCGAUUGCGAAGGCAGCUUUCCGGCGCCCAACUGACGCUGAGGCACGAAAGUGUGGGGAUCGAACAGGAUUAGAUACCCGUGUAGUC